AGGUGAUCCCUUAUGUGUUGGUUUUUAGGAACUUCAAUGUAUUUUCUUCUUUCUUGAGAAAAAUUAGGUUGGGUUUUUUUAUUGACAUGUACUAUAUUGAAUGGGUAUGAUUAUUAGAAAGUGUGCUCAACAUGCUGGAAGUGUUAAUAGAUAUGAUUAUUAGAAAGUGUUAGUGGAUCGUAUUUGAUGUUUUAUUUUAAUGAAAAGUUACGAAGUCCAUUGUGAACAUACUUGCAUCCAUAUCUAGCUACUUUAAAGUAUGUUAAUAUUUUUUUUUUAAAACAAUAGUAUUUUACCCUAUAGGCCAUUAAUUCUCUCUCCUACCUACCCUAAUAUAUUUACUAUGUUUGAAAAAUAGCAUGUCCAAAUAUAUUAUUAAUUGGGUUGUAGUUGAUCAACUUGAUUACAAAAAUAAUAUGAAUAUAAUUUUCUUUGCUUAAAAAGUUUUUGGAAUCCUUGCUAAUGGAAAUUAAAUGAUAUUGUGAUAUGAUAGAUGAAGGGGAUGUGAAUGAGUACAACUUGAAACAAAUGGGAAGGAGUCCAAUUGGGAAAUGAGCUUCAUAGCCAGGGAAAGUACAAUGAUGCCUUGCAGAAGUACUGUCUUGCAAAAAAGAACCUAAAAGGCAUUCCAUCAUCGAAAGGUCAAGCACUACAGUUGGCAUGCUCACUAAACUUGAUGUCAUGUUACUUGAAAACAAAGCAGUUUGAUGAAUGCAUAAAAGAAGGUU